CUCACCUAGAAAAGAGAAAAGCGUCCUUUGGU
rnacentral:piRNA from 1 species